GUGUUCACUUUGGCAACACAUGUACUAAAAUUGGAGUGAUAGAGAGAAGAUUGGCAUGGCCCCUGCACAGGGAUGACACACAAAUCCAUGAAGUGUUUCAUAUUUUU